rnacentral:rRNA from 1 species
UACGUAGGGUGCGAGCGUUGUCCGGAAUUAUUGGGCGUAAAGGGCUCGUAGGCGGUUUGUCGCGUCGGGAGUGAAAACCAUGAGCUUAACUCAUGGCUUGCUUUCGAUACGGGCAGACUAGAGGUAUGCAGGGGAGAACGGAAUUCCUGGUGUAGCGGUGAAUGCGCAGAUAUCAGGAGGAACACCGGUGGCGAAGGCGGUUCUCUGGGCAUUACCUGACGCUGAGGAGCGAAAGUGUGGGGAGCGAACAGG